rnacentral:lncRNA from 1 species
UAAUCAAUCUUUGUGAUCCAAAUAAUGAAGAGACACUUUUAUAACUUUACAAAACCAUUUCAUACAAAUAACUAAAUGUAGUUAAUAUUGAAAAGUAGUAUUUCCUUAAAUUCUUAACAUAGGUAUUUGACCAAGUCUCCCAUGUAGUGAAUUUGGAAAUAUGCAAUUGGCAUAGUUUUUGCCAUAUGAUUUUCUGUUUCUCUUACCCUCCUAUACUUUAUUUUCUUUGAAAGUACCAGGAGUUCCUUCUGACUUUGUUACUUUUCCAGACUCCUGGUGUCCUCCCCUCACUGCCUUUCACUCCUCAGCUGAAAGAGCCUUGUUAAAGGAGGUUUGUUUUUCUCCAGCAUUACAUUGAAACUUGUUUGUAGCAAACUCAGUUUCCCCAAGGAUGUAACAUCACCUUAGGAUCUCACAGACAGACAAGCAAAACAUCAGAGGCCAACAUCUAGCUGUUGAGAAGUUGUGAGGUAGUUCUCUGCUGAGUCCAGGUUUCAUAUUUACAGUAUGAGAUCAGUUCUACUAUUACAGUUGACAAAAAAUUCUUUCAAAACUUGAUGUUCUACUUAAGUUCUAAGAUAUAUGCGAUUUAACAUCCUUUCUUAAACAGAAAAAAGCAGAUGGUAAGCCAGAUGUCCUAAAAUCCCUCCUGCUGGAUGAAGCAUGGAUGCAACUACUUUUCAGCGCACAGCUCUGAUAGGCAGUGGAGUCUGCCUUAAGGGCUCUGACAGUCGAAUGGGGACGUAUCCAAUGAACAGGAAAAGACUAUUCAGAAAGAAGUGGGACAAUGCUUCAAAUCCCUAGAUAAACAGGAAAUGACACUUGAAAAAUAUACAAGGACCAUUUGAAAAAAGAAAAAGAUGAAGAAAAAAAUGAAAACUUAAAAGUAGCUCAAAUGCACCCCUUUAAAUGAAGUUUCGUACCCCCAUAUUGCUUUGCAAUUUUUCCAUACUACUGAUGUGUCACUGCUUUAGUCUUUUUACUGCUCAGUGCUAUUCAUUUGUAUGAAUAUUGCCAAAUAUAUUUACCCUUUCUCCUACUGAGGAGCACCUGGGGUUUUUCUAGGUUUGAGCGAUUAGAAUAAAGCUUCUGCAACUACUCUUCUACA